GCACUGGAAAGCUUGUCCUACGGGUGGCGAGUGGCGGACGGGUGAGGAAUACAUCGGAAUCUACUCUGUCGUGGGGGAUAACGUAGGGAAACUUACGCUAAUACCGCAUACGACCUACGGGUGAAAGCAGGGGACCUUCGGGCCUUGCGCGAUUGAAUGAGCCGAUGUCGGAUUAGCUAGUUGGCGGGGUAAAGGCCCACCAAGGCGACGAUCCGUAGCUGGUCUGAGAGGAUGAUCAGCCACACUGGAACUGAGACACGGUCCAGACUCCUACGGGAGGCAGCAGUGGGGAAUAUUGGACAAUGGGCGCAAGCCUGAUCCAGCCAUACCGCGUGGGUGAAGAAGGCCUUCGGGUUGUAAAGCCCUUUUGUUGGGAAAGAAAUCCAGCUGGCUAAUACCCGGUUGGGAUGACGGUACCCCAAAAGAAUAAGCACCGGCUAACUUCGUGCCAGCAGCCGCGGUAAUACGAAGGGUGCAAGCGUUACUCGGAAUUACUGGGCGUAAAGCGUGCGUAGGUGGUUAUUUAAGUCCGUUGUGAAAGCCCUGGGCUCAACCUGGGAACUGCAGUGGAUACUGGAUGA
rnacentral:rRNA from 1 species